UUUUGUAGUGGCAUAGGAAGACG
rnacentral:piRNA from 1 species